rnacentral:rRNA from 1 species
GUGGGGAAUCUUGCGCAAUGGGCGAAAGCCUGACGCAGCCAUGCCGCGUGAAUGAUGAAGGUCUUAGGAUUGUAAAAUUCUUUCACCGGGGACGAUAAUGACGGUACCCGGAGAAGAAGCUCCGGCUAACUUCGUGCCAGCAGCCGCGGUAAUACGAAGGGGGCUAGCGUUGCUCGGAAUUACUGGGCGUAAAGGGCGCGUAGGCGGACAGCUUAGUCAGAGGUGAAAGCCCAGGGCUCAACCUUGGAAUUGCCUUUGAUACUGGCUGUCUGGAGUUUGGGAGAGGUGAGUGGAACUCCGAGUGUAGAGGUGAAAUUCGUAGAUAUUCGGAAGAACACCAGUGGCGAAGGCGACUCACUGGCCCAAUACUGACGCUGAGGCGCGAAAGCGUGGGGAGCAGACAGGAUUAGAUACCCGAGUAGUCC